rnacentral:rRNA from 1 species
AGGGUUCGAUUCUGGCUCAGGAUGAACGCUGGCGGCGUGCUUAACACAUGCAAGUCGAACGGGAUCCAUCAAGCUUGCUUGGUGGUGAGAGUGGCGAACGGGUGAGUAAUGCGUGACCGACCUGCCCCAUACACCGGAAUAGCUCCUGGAAACGGGUGGUAAUGCCGGAUGCUCCAGUUGGAUGCAUGUCCUUCUGGGAAAGAUUCUAUCGGUAUGGGAUGGGGUCGCGUCCUAUCAGCUUGAUGGCGGGGUAACGGCCCACCAUGGCUUCGACGGGUAGCCGGCCUGAGAGGGCGACCGGCCACAUUGGGACUGAGAUACGGCCCAGACUCCUACGGGAGGCAGCAGUGGGGAAUAUUGCACAAUGGGCGCAAGCCUGAUGCAGCGACGCCGCGUGAGGGAUGGAGGCCUUCGGGUUGUAAACCUCUUUUAUCGGGGAGCAAGCGAGAGUGAGUUUACCCGUUGAAUAAGCACCGGCUAACUACGUGCCAGCAGCCGCGGUAAUACGUAGGGUGCAAGCGUUAUCCGGAAUUAUUGGGCGUAAAGGGCUCGUAGGCGGUUCGUCGCGUCCGGUGUGAAAGUCCAUCGCUUAACGGUGGAUCCGCGCCGGGUACGGGCGGGCUUGAGUGCGGUAGGGGAGACUGGAAUUCCCGGUGUAACGGUGGAAUGUGUAGAUAUCGGGAAGAACACCAAUGGCGAAGGCAGGUCUCUGGGCCGUCACUGACGCUGAGGAGCGAAAGCGUGGGGAGCGAACAGGAUUAGAUACCCUGGUAGUCCACGCCGUAAACGAUG